GCGUAAUCCACCAAACUUAACAAUUAUAAAAUUCAACAAUCAUUCGGUUUCAAUGGAAUUACGCUUCAAAUGCUUGCGCAAACGAUAGAUAAAAGAUGCUUUUUUCUUUAAAUUAUUUUCCGUAUUGUCAGUCGCAUCAUCGUUGCUGCAUACAUUAAUGUCUGUAGGGUUUGGAGAUUCAUUUGUUGAUGAAUUUACGUUUGAAGAAUCGUUGUCCGUCACACCGUCCUCAUUUUCUUCAGAUUUUUCAACACCCUUUGAGUUAUUAGGAAGUAAAAAUGCUGGUAAUGAAUUUGCUUCGCUCUGACUUGAAAAUGCAGCUAUUGGGCUAGUGGCAGCAUCAAGAUUUCGAUGCUUAGAACACGGGUCAAAUGGGCCAUCAUGGUGAACCCCUAAAGUUUAGUUAAAAGGCUGCUGAGUUGCACAAUCUUACCGAAAUCUCCUAGGUAUGAAUUCGAAGAGUCCAGCUUGUCUAUUUUGUCAUAGCCUAGCAUGUUAAAACUCUCUUUGGAAGAUACUUUUCGCUCGAAUGCCUUGUUCUGGUUCCAAAAUGGAGGAUUUUCGGCCAUUUCGUUACAUUCUAUUAUUGCAAUUUUUGGUUUGAUCACCCUCUUUGGUUUCGCUUCAUAUAUUCUAGAAUUGCUACGAGAAUGCAAUUUCAGCAGGUCAACCCCACUAUCUUUAUUUAAAAAUGGAUUAUUUGAUUGUAGUUCUGCAUCGUCUUCAUGAUGUUGAUAUUGAUUCAGAUUUAUGCCGGAAUGCGGUCGUUCUUCGUUAAAAACGUCAAUUCUUGGGGAGCUAAACUAUAGUACACGAUAUCGGUUAAUUAACCAUUUAUAUUUUUUAUAAAAAUUAUAUUUUGAACGUACGAUUGUGUACCCUUUUUCUGGAAUGUCUUCAAAGUUAUGAGUUUGGAGCGGCGGGAAAUUUGCAUUCGAGUGCACAAAAGGAUUGUUUUUCCCCAUAAUUGAAUAUUAAAGUAAAAAAGAAAGAAAGGAGGACCUACUUAAUGCCCCUUGGUAAAAAUGAGACAGCUUGUUUUUACACUAAUGAGCUGUAUUUAUUCGUUUUUUGUACUUCGACGUCACAAAGCAAUCAUAAAAGUCAUUGAUAAUGUUAGGAUCAUUGUUACAGAGUAAUGAAGAAAGAAAACAUCAAUAGCAAUUUUUAGUAGCUACGCGAUUUAGGACUCUUUUGAUGCUAAAGGUGGGCGAUCAUUAAUGAUUUACAUUAUCAAGUAUUAUAGUGUCGACACAAACUGCGUGUAUAUAAAUGUAG